rnacentral:misc_RNA from 1 species
UUAACAUGGCCAGUGGCAAUACGGUC